rnacentral:rRNA from 1 species
GACGAACGCUGGCGGCGUGCUUAACACAUGCAAGUCGAACGGAAAGGCCCUGCUUUUGUGGGGUGCUCGAGUGGCGAACGGGUGAGUAACACGUGUGUAACCUGCCCUUGACUUUGGGAUAACUUCAGGAAACUGGGGCUCAUACCGGAUAGGAGCUCCUGCUGCAUGGUGGGGGUUGGAAAGUUUCGGCGGUUGGGGAUGGACUCGCGGCUUAUCAGCUUGUUGGUGGGGUAGUGGCUUACCAAGGCUUUGACGGGUAGCCGGCCUGAGAGGGUGAACGGCCACAUUGGGACUGAGAUACGGCCCAGAAUCCUACGGGAGGCAGCAGUGGGGAAUAUUGCACAAUGGGCGGAAGCCUGAUGCAGCAACGCCGCGUGCGGGAUGACGGCCUUCGGGUGGUAAACCGCUUUCGCCUGUGACGAAGCGUGAGUGACGGUAAUGGGUAAAGAAGCACCGGCUAACUACGUG